rnacentral:tRNA from 1 species
GGGGAUUUAGCUCAGUGGUAGAGCGCUUACCUAGGAAGCGCAAGGCCCUGGGUUCGGUUCCCAGCCCCG